GCAGAAAGCUCUGUCGGUUAGAGCGUGGUGCUGACAACACCAAGGCUGCAGGUUUGAUCCCCACAUGGGGAAGCU